UACCGCAGCCAUAUCACCCUGCAGCCCAAGAGCGGUUACUCACUGAAGCUAAGCAGGGCUGAGCCUGGUCAGUGCCUGGAUGGGAGACCACUAGGGAACACUAGGUUGCUGUUGGCA
rnacentral:rRNA from 1 species